rnacentral:rRNA from 1 species
UACGUAGGGGGCAAGCGUUGUCCGGAUUUAUUGGGCGUAAAGAGCGUGUAGGCGGCUCGAUAAGUCUGCUGUGAAAGUCCAGGGCUCAACCCUGGAAGGCCGGUGGAAACUGUCGGGCUAGAGUCCGGAAGAGGCGAGUGGAAUUCCCGGUGUAGCGGUGAAAUGCGCAGAUAUCUGGAGGAACACCGGUGGCGAAGGCGGCGUCCUGGACCAACACUGACACUGAUGAGCGAAAGCCAGGGGAGCAAACGGG